rnacentral:rRNA from 1 species
CAGUAGCCACGGGAAUACGAAGGGUGCAAGCGUUAAUCGGAACUACUGGGCGUAAAGCGUGCGUAGGCGGUGAGUUAAGUCUGCCGUGAAAUCCCCGGGCUCAACCUGGGAAUGGCAGUGGAUACUGGCUCGCUAGAGUGUGUCAGAGGAUGGUGGAAUUCCCGGUGUAGCGGUGAAAUGCGUAGAGAUCGGUAGGAACAUCUGUGGCGAAGGCGACUAUCUGGGCCAACACUGACACUGAGGCACGAAAGCGUGGGGAGCAAACAGGAUUAGAUACCCGAGUAGUCCCUGUCUCUUAUAC